rnacentral:miRNA from 1 species
UGGCAUGCAAUAAAUGCUCAGUAAAUAUUUAUUGGAUGAAUAAGUGAAUACAUUAUCUUAGACUGAUCAGUAUUCAUCCAUUAAGGCUGA